GCCCCCACUGAAAAUGCUCUAGACACGCCCCUGGUGCUGAGCCCUCGAAGUUUUCUCAGCGACAUUUCUGUGCAGUGUGCGGCUUCCCAUCAAACUACACUUGUGUGUCAUGUGGAGCUCGCUACUGCUGUGUCCGAUGUUUAGGAACACACCAUGAGACCAGGUGUCUAAAGUGGACGGUAUGAUUUGCUCCUCAACUGAACUCCUAUCAAAAUUAAAAUAAGCUUAUGGGUCAAAAUGCACACUUACGAUUUAUGUCCCUCAGAAACAUUACAUUCGUUUGCCUGCACAACAAACAUGUUGAGAUGUAAAUCACUAGAAGCCUUCCACCUGACUGUUAAAAUAAUAACCUGUCAUCUCUGCACUUCAUUUGAAAAUUCACAUAAUAGGAUGAAACAAAGCAUUUGCAAAAAA